ensembl:rRNA 5S_rRNA 5S ribosomal RNA
GCUUAGAGCCAUGCCACCCUGAGCACGCCUGACCUCGGAAGCUAAGCAGGGCUGGGCUUGGUUAGUACUUGGAUGGGAGACUUCCUGGGAAUACCUGGUGCUGUAAGCC